UAGGGAAUCUUCCGCAAUGGGCGAAAGCCUGACGGAGCAACGCCGCGUGAGUGAUGAAGGUCUUCGGAUCGUAAAACUCUGUUAUUAGGGAAGAACAAAUGUGUAAGUAACUAUGCACGUCUUGACGGUACCUAAUCAGAAAGCCACGGCUAACUACGUGCCAGCAGCCGCGGUAAUACGUAGGUGGCAAGCGUUAUCCGGAAUUAUUGGGCGUAAAGCGCGCGUAGGCGGUUUUUUAAGUCUGAUGUGAAAGCCCACGGCUCAACCGUGGAGGGUCAUUGGAAACUGGAAAACUUGAGUGCAGAAGAGGAAAGUGGAAUUCCGUGUGUAGCAGUGAAAUGCGCAGAGAUAUGGAGGAACACCAGUGGCGAAGGCGACUUUCUGGUCUGUAACUGACGCUGAUGUGCGAAAGCGUGGGGAUCAAACAGG
rnacentral:rRNA from 1 species